rnacentral:rRNA from 1 species
GACGAACGCUGGCGGCGUGCCUAAAACAUGCAAGUCGAACGAACUAGCAAUAGUUAGUGGCGAACGGCGGAGUAAUACAUGAAGAACGUGCCCUGAAGACCGGGAUAGCCGUGGGAAACUGCGAGUAAUACCGGAUGCGGCUGGAGAAUGGCAUCAUUUUCCAACCAAAUGGUUUUUCGCUUCAGGAGCGCUUCAUGGCCUAUCAGCUAGUUGGUGAGGUAAUGGCUCACCAAGGCGACGACGGGUAGGGGGUCUAAGAGGAUGAUCCCUCGAGUGGGACUGAGACACGGCCCACACACCUACGGGUGGCAGCAGUUGGGAAUCUUGCACAAUGGGGAAACCCUGAUGCAGCGACGCCGCGUGGAGGAUGAAGGAUCUAGGUCUGUAAACUCCUUUUCAUGGAAAGACUUAGGACGGUACCAUGAGAAUAAGCCCCGGCUAACUACGUGCCAGCAGCCGCGGUAAAUCACGUGUAA